GACACGGCCCAGACUCCUACGGGAGGCAGCAGUAGGGAAUUUUCGGCAAUGGGGGAAACCCUGACCGAGCAACGCCGCGUGAAGGAAGAAGUAAUUCGUUAUGUAAACUUCUGUCAUAGAGGAAGAACGGUGGAUAUAGGGAAUGAUAUCCAAGUGACGGUACUCUAUAAGAAAGCCACGGCUAACUACGUGCCAGCAGCCGCGGUAAUACGUAGGUGGCGAGCGUUAUCCGGAAUUAUUGGGCGUAAAGAGGGAGCAGGCGGCACUAAGGGUCUGUGGUGAAAGAUCGAAGCUUAACUUCGGUAAGCCAUGGAAACCGUAGAGCUAGAGUGUGUGAGAGGAUCGUGGAAUUCCAUGUGUAGCGGUGAAAUGCGUAGAUAUAUGGAGGAACACCAGUGGCGAAGGCGACGAUCUGGCGCAUAACUGACGCUCAGUCCCGAAAGCGUGGGGAGCAAAUAGGAUUAGAUACCCUAGUAGUCCACGCCGUAAACGAUGAGUACUAAGUGUUGGGAGUCAAAUCUCAGUGCUGCAGUUAACGCAAUAAGUACUCCGCCUGAGUAGUACGUUCGCAAGAAUGAAACUCAAAGGAAUUGACGGGGGCCCGCACAAGCGGUGGAGCAUGUGGUUUAAUUCGAAGCAACGCGAAGAACCUUACCAGGUCUUGACAUCGAUCUAAAGGCUCCAGAGAUGGAGAGAUAGCUAUAGAGAAGACAGGUGGUGCAUGGUUGUCGUCAGCUCGUGUCGUGAGAUGUUGGGUUAAGUCCCGCAACGAGCGCAACCCCUGUUGCCAGUUGCCAGCAUUAAGUUGGGGACUCUGGCGAGACUGCCGGUGACAAGCCGGAGGAAGGCGGGGAUGACGUCAAAUCAUCAUGCCCCUUAUGACCUGGGCUACACACGUGCUACAAUGGACAGAGCAGAGGGAAGCGAAGCCGCGAGGUGGAGCGAAACCCAUAAAACUGUUCUCAGUUCGGACUGCAGUCUGCAACUCGACUGCACGAAGAUGGAAUCGCUAGUAAUCGCGAAUCAGCAUGUCGCGGUGAAUACGUUCUCGGGCCUUGUACACACCGCCCGUCACACCAUGAGAGUCGGUAACACCCGAAGCCGGUGGCCUAACCGCAAGGAAGGAGCUGUCUAAGGUGGGACUGAUGAUUGGGGUGAAGUCGUAACAAGGUAUCCCUACGGGAACGUGGGGAUG
rnacentral:rRNA from 1 species